UGAAAAAUUUUUUAAAAAAUAAUCUAUAAAUUUAUAAUAUCCUCUUUCUUUAUUUAAUUU
rnacentral:tRNA from 1 species